AGUUAAACCAUUAUUGGUUGACAGCAAAUUUUUUGACUUGCAACAGAUGGAAAGCAUCAAGUGAUGAUAAUAAUUAAUGUUUACAUGUUACAACUUGGGAUCAAGACAUCAGUUGGGUUACAGUUACAAUUAGACAAUUAAUUGAAUAGCUUUUUCUCCUUGUAAAACCUGGUAAAUAAACAAACAAACUGGUUCAGGUCAAUUUGAUUGUUAAACUAACCCAAAGAUGGGUUAAUGGGUUAGGCAUCAGUUUAAGCAUCAUUCACAGUCUCACUCAACUGUAUUACAAAAAUAUUAGCAAAAAUUGUUAAAUUUAAAUGAUCCAAUUUAUAUACCAAUUGAACCAGAGGUUUACAGGAGCCUGUUAGAUAUAUCUAUUAUUACCUGUACAGCAAGAAUAGGAAGACAAUUAAAUUGAACAAUUGAUGAUUUUGUACCAAAGUGUUGAGCUUCUUCCUUCUCCCCCAUCAUCAAACAAUCAUGUUAACACACUUCACAUAACAACUCUCGUACCCACUCUAGAUGAUCACUUUUCAUAGUAACUUUUCAUAGUCACUCUUUUUCAUGGUAACUCUCCUCCUACUCCUUCAUCAUUAACUAACUAAUUGACUCUCUCUCUGUGUCUCUCACUCACUUGAUCAAACAAUUGUGUGAACACUUUCCGUUUAAACCGCCUCUCACAAUAAUUAACUUGUCUUGGCUAAUUUUCAUCCAUUACAAUUGAUAGUCUAUUUUUGUUUCCCUGUAACUGUUGCAUGAUUUACAUCGACUGACCCCACACCAAUGGUUAAAGCCAUGGGAAGAAAGCGCCUCACUGCGGUCUACCAAUUGUCCUCUUUUGGGUCUCCUUUGACACUUUUUUCAAAACCUUUUUCACCAGUUUUUUCAUCAACCUUUUCAUCUUGUUCAUCAUUGCCAUCUUUAUCGCCAUUAUCAUCGACCAUCAAUCGUCUAGUUUUAGUUUUAUUGAUUGCCAUUUUCACUAACCACUUGUGUUUGGUCCGUUGUCAGUCUGAUGAGGUUACAACGCCUUCAAGUUUAACUUUAACUGAUCCUUCCGAGGUAACAACUGGUACCUUUUUAAAUUUAAUCAUCUCCACUGUUCCACCGACAACUUUAUCUCCAAAAGAUGGACAGUCCACCAAUUCAACAGCAUCAUCGUCGUCAACAAUGAUUUUGGACUUAUCUACAAAUGCAAGCUUGAUUGAAAGUAGUGAAAAUAAUGAAGUUGGUAAUACAACAUUAAAACCAAGUAACCCUAGUCGUGUUACAGCAUUUCUUGAUGAAUCGGAUGAAGUAAACACCCAAUCAUCGACAAUUACCAUAGAUGUGUCUCCAAUUAUACUGAAUAAUGUAAUUAAUCAAACAGAGUUUAAUUAUUCAAUCAGUGACAAUACAUCUCUACCAAUUCCAGUAACCUUUCAACCUAAAAGUCCAUUACUUAAGUCACCCUCAGUGAAUUCAACUGUUGAACAAACUCUUCUACCAAAUCAAUCUUUAAUUGACUCUCCAACAACAUUAUUAACCGUCGACUUGGUCAAUGGUAAUGCCAAUAAUAGCAAUGAUGAUAAAAAUAAUAACAUUAUUAUCAUUUCCAAUGAAACAAGUUCACAAACUAGAGCAGGUAAUGAGACAAUUUGUGAUUCAAAUAGACUUGAGAUUGACCAUUAUCAGGCAAAAAAGUUUUUCCUGUUAACAAUGAUUCUAUUAGGAUUCUGUUGUUUCUUAAUUAUCAUCGUACUUAUCCUGGUUGUUUACAUUUAUCGUAAAUUGUCCAAAGAGAAAACAGUUAAGGUGCCAAAUAAUGUUGGAGCUGUUGAAUUUGAUACGAUCAAAGAUGGACGAUUCCACCAAUGGCAAGGAACCGUUAAUAGUGCUUUUGACUCGGCAGAUUUAAAUGAUGCUACUACAAGGACUGGAUAUCGUUUUAUGGAUGGUUCUGUUAUUCCCUACUCAGAACGCUAUCAUACAGACAUUAAAUCAUCUUCAACGGAAACGUUUGGCCAUCAUUUAAACUCUCACCACCAUCAGAAUCAUCCAGCUCAAGCCUCAUUUAAUAAUAAUUCAUUACCUAAAACCAUUGAUACAAGAUUGUGAAAGAUACAAGUGACAAGUUACACUGCAUCAUGUUAAUCUUUAACUUUCAAGAAACAAUUAAAGCUGUUUUUCGAUACUAUUUUCAAUGUUAAUAAGAACACACACAAAGUGUUUCAAAUCAAUUGAUUCCGCCCAGCAACCAGCAAAGCUCAAUAAAAAUUCAUGGUAUUCCUAAUGCACAUCAAAGUUUCAACUAAACAGCCAACAAUUAAAAUCUGGACAAUAUCAACGGAAAUGUUCAAUGGUUACCUGAGUAAUAAUAAUUAGAGAAAAAAUUUCCUGCCUUAAAACAAGAAAAGAAUCGUUUAUAACUCAGAAUAUCUGCUUGUACCAACAGUUAAAUCGCGACACUUAGUCAACAUGUACUGUAAUAAGAUUUGAUGUACUUUAUGUCUUUGAUUGUUGGUAAUUUAUUGUUGAUUUUAAUUAUUUAUCAUUAUUCAGAAAUUAAAUGAAAUCUUCUACUGAGCUGCCAUCUA